UCUCAGUCAAAUGUUUUGAAGUGGAAAUGAUAUUGUUUUUCCCCAAAUACUGCCUGGGUUUGUAAUGCUAAAUGUUAUAUCAUUGCAUUUGUUGGAACACUACAAGCACAAAUACUUCUGUUUAUUAGAAUUCGGAAUGAUUUGCUACAAGUUAAGUGAAAGAUGAGAUUGGAGUUUCACUGCCAUUCUAAACUAUUUGCUUCAGAACGUUUAAUAGAAUGAGCUUGGUCCUCAAAUCAUGGAGACGAAAAAGGGCAACUAAUUUCGUGUUAACUACAAUAUAUGAACCCAAAAAUGAGAUGAACUCUUACAAAGGACGCCAGAUAAACACCAUGGAAUUUCACUUAGUCAUGAAGCGAGAAUAAAUUGACCUUUCUUCGGCCAUCUUGGAAAUUCUCUGGUCCCUUGAAGUGAAUCUAAAGCUAUCUGGACUGCCGAGAUUCGAAGGUUUGUUUGGGAGAAAUUGGAUUUAUAUGAAUUAUCCCACGCAAGUUUUACAAAUAUUGUAUGCAACUGAUAAUGAGCUCGUGUUCAGAUUCAACGUCUAAUAUCCUCGACGCUCUAUGUAUAAAGAGUUUGAUCUAUAAAAAUUAAUCGAAAGAAUACGAGCUAAAAUCGCUAUAAACAAUUGUGUCGCUAUAUGGGAACUUCAAUUGCUAUUUUAAACUAAUUAAUAUUAAAAUUCCUUCAUGCAUUUUUAUACCAUUUUUAGGAUUUAAAUGAAACAGACCUCCAUGAAAAUCCUUUACUUGAGGUUACGCAUGGAAGUGCAGCUUGUUUUACUCGAAUCUAGUCUUUAAACUUCGGUUUCUAUGAAUUGCGGGCAUGCAUUUCUUGUGUUUAAUUAUAUUAAAUUUUAAAAUAACAUUAAAAACAACCGAAGAGGUCAGAUUUGGCAUCAAGAUGCGAAAUUUUGUCUAGAUUUAGCGUGACCUUAUUUUAAAAUCGAGGUAAUAAUUAGCGGUAGGAGUAAUAGUUACGCUUCAGAGAGAAUUUUAAACAAUUAAGCGAUCUUAAAUUCUUCAGAAGGGCUCAAUCUCUCAAAUUAAGUAAAACAAAUUUUUAUUCGCUUCAAAACAUUCUUGUCUCAAUUUCAAAUCAUUAGAAUGUAAAAUACUGAAUUGGUCAGUUCAAGUUAAAACAUAAAUAUACAUACCAUGUUUUCGAGAAUGGUAAGAAUCGCGUAGAAUUUUUCUAUGGCAUCUUUUAAAUACCCAAAAAUUUUAAUUCGAUUAGUUACACUUUCGGGUUAUUUUAGGUUAAUGCACUUUCCACUCGUCUCGAAUCCAAUAAUCUUGGGAAGGUUAUCCUAAUCUCGUUCUCGAGCUAAAUUGAAAUUUCAAAAAUCCUUUUAAAUUCAGGAAAUGUUUGGACAGAUUCCUUUAAAUUUUCUACCAAGGUUCGUGUAAUUACGACAUAAAACGGUAAAUCAUGGCAAUAAUCUGUUUUAGACGUUUAACGGUACCCACAUGAUAAUCUUCGAACUAAAUUUUAAUUAUCAUUAGUUUCCAAAACGCUCAUUCGCUAAAGUUGAACAGAAUGCAAGAAAUAUUCGUAUUUUAGUUAACGUAAAUGUUUAAUUAUAGACAGUUGCAGAUGCCAAUGUUACGGGUAGAAAUUGCACAUUUCAGGUUCUCUGAGGAAGAUUAAAGCUUUGGGAAGUGGUAGAUGGGAUACAUUAACACGUCAAGUAACAACCCGGUCCCUGUUGACUUUCCGUUUAGGCAUCGUGGGACCGACGGCCUAAACGGAAAGUGUCGGUCCCCUGGGAUCCGGCACUGGACGUGUUAAUGGGGAGGGGAAGCUUCUAGUUUGGGGAUGGUUAUCAAAACUGAGCUUGUGGGUUAUAAAAUGGUUAAGAACAUUUAUUGCAGUACAAUAGCUAGUCUAAGGAGUGGGGGGGGCGGUUCAGAAAGGUUUGGAACCUGUAAAUUGCAAUUUGUACCACGAACAUUGGUAGUGACUGUUCGGACUCUGGGGAAGGUCCAUUUAUAAGACUACUGAAAUUAUUACUGCAGGGAAAAUCCUCUUACCCCAAUUCUUAAGUGCUUCUCAUUUGCUAUAAAUAAGAGAUGCAUAGUUGUAAUAUUCGAGGAGACAAGAUUCGCAAUCGACUGCAAGUUUUGCAUAAUCCAUGAACUCGUGAAAUCCUUGUACAAGGCGAAUGACUGCAAUUUAAUCUAUAGGCAGUGCUGUAGUUUUAUCGAUAGGUUCCUCUUCUAAAAUUAAGAGAUUUAAAUGAAUACCCCACUGAGGGAUAAGUUUAUUAAAAUGUUAAUAUAAGGAAUUCUGAUUAAUCUAAAAGGAAAAAGCUAGAACCUAUACACAGCAUUUUGAUAUUUCGUAUCGGUAACAGGCAAUCUAGCUAAAAAUCAUUACUUCUCUCCCGAAAAAUUGAGUACUUCCCCUCCCGAUGAUUUAUAAGUAAUUUUGCGCUGAUUACUGUAAUUCUGAAUUAGUUAAAGCAGUUUUUAGCUUGGUUAUCCCUUGAGGGAAGGCUCGUUCUAGAGCAGGGAUUGGCAAAAGUUAGCCAUACAAAUGCUUCUUAGUAUACAUGUAAAUUUUUUGGAAAAUGUAAAACGCAAAAGGCUUAGAGAAAAUUAUAGGAAGAGAGAUUGAGUCUUUCAAACUAUGGAUUCCACUUCUAAUUGGCUGAAUUGAUUGGCAUUGUAAAAGCUGCUUCAUUUGAAUCUAUUCUUAAAUGUUAAGUUUUUAAUUUUUGUCGUACGAUUUAUUGGUCACUUUAAAUCAAUCUUUUAUUCUUAAAUUCCUAGUUUCUUUAAAUUCUAAAUGUCAUUUUUCUUUUCAGAAUUUGCUUUUGUACUUCAUAUUCUUGCAUACUGAUAUCAUUAUCCAUAAGUUAAUUUUUAAAUUAAAAAUCUUGAUAUAAUUUUACGAUUCAAGUUUUCUUUGAAUUUGAAGUUCCCUUACGAUUGUGAUAUUUCUGCACUUUCUCUUGCUUUUAGAUUUGUAAACUUUAAAUAUUGCUUUUUUGUACCGUUCUAAAUUAAAGCUGUUAAUCUUCAAGGACUACGCUUUUGAACCAGAUGUUGUGCCGCCAUUGCAAGUAAUCUUUUUUGGAAUUUGUACUAAAGUAUUGCGAGUAAUGCAUGCUUGAAUAUAUUUAAUUAAAAUGUUUUGUGUAUUAAUUGUAGGAUAAAUUGUGUAUUCAAGGUUGGACGGUGUAUAUUUGACAGGAUCCGUGUAAACAGUUGAAAAUAAAUAUUCCCGUAAUAUGUAUACCCUUCAGUAAUUUAAUAUUCACCAUGUAAUCCGUAAUAUUAUGAAAUCCAAAUUCCUUAGCAAGAAAAAUAACAUCGCUGAAUAAUGCAAUUAAUAUCCUUAAGGCUGCGAGCGCAAUGCGGGAAAUACUCGUAAUAUUCUAAUCAAAUAUUUAGAAUAUUGACAUGUAAUUCUUGUAUUCCAUUAGAUUCAUGUUUUCAAUAUCUCCGUUGAAUCUUCUUAAAUUAGAUCAAGUUAAUCCACGUCAAAGUUGAUAAUUGUGAGAUACAGACUGUAAAUAUCUCCAAGCUGGA